UGCUGUGAAGUGAUGAGUUUUCAUGUCUCUUCUCUGACUGAUUAUCACUGGAGAGAGUCUAUAUACCUCUGAUCUCAGCC